rnacentral:lncRNA from 1 species
AAAGAAAUUUGAAGAUGCUUUACUGCUGGCUUGAAGAUGGACAAAGGGAGCAAUGAGCCAAAGGACAAGCAAGGCCUGUAGAAGCUAAAAUAGCAAACAGAGGGGCACCUGAAAGUGUUAGACCAGAAGAUACCACUGAGGAAGGAAUGUUUAAAGUGGAAUGAUACAUUUCCAACAGAACAUAAACAACAAAAUACUUAAUAUGCAGUCCAGACUGAAAUGUGUAAUGAAAAUAGUUGGAUAUUAAAGAAUUCAAGAGUGAGAGGCAUCAGCAAGGAGGACCUCCUCCUUAUUAUUGAGAUUUUCCUGACAUCAAUGUAUCCUUUUGAGUAUAUUAUCGUAUCUCUUAACAUUUCUGUUUCAUCCUUGACCUGAGACUUUUUUUUUUUUUUUUAAUCUUGAGAUAAUUCUUGGCUUUGUCAAGGCUACUGGUGACAAAAGCAUUAGCAAGCAGGUGCAGAGUGCUUUUUCCACCAAAGAAGAGACAUUGUACUCUUUUUGGGGUUAUAUUAAUGACUAAUUCACCUCUCUGUCCUCCUCAAUGCCAUCUGUCUUUUGUUUGGUCUCCCUGAUGUUAGUCACGAAGUCUGCUUAGAAGGAUUUAUGUCUUACUUUGAUAUAGGUUCUAUACUCAAUGCUAGGGAACAAUCAUUGGCAAGAUGUGUCUCCUUUACUCAAAGAGGUUUUAAUGGUCUAUGUUUGGAAAAGAGACAUACAGUCAUUAGAAUGCAAUAUUGUGAAAGUUGACAAGGGAAAUUCUUGGGGUUAUGGGAAUCUUCAAUAUCUUUAUUGAGAAAUACAGAUAUACACAUUUAUCAAAACUCAUAAAAUGAUGAAUUUGUAGUAUUUUAUUGUGUAUAAAUUAUGCCUCAAUAAAAGUUCAUUGUAAUGUGCUGAAAGAAUAAAUGAUAAAGAAG